rnacentral:lncRNA from 1 species
CCCCGGGGCCCGGGGCAAGCAUGUUCGAGGCGGUCACCCCCGGGCCUCGGCGCGCUCCCCCUGGCGGAGAGCCUCGUCUUCCGGCCGGUGAGGGAAGGUAGAGGAGGGAGUAGGGGCGAGGAGGCCUCGGCGGCCCUUGGGCUCUGCGGGCUGGGGACUCGGGGUGCCCGCGACACGCGCGGAGGCGCGGGCUGGGUUGGCCACGGGCAGGGAGCGCAGCCGCGCUCCUUCCUCUCUGCCCGCGUCGCCUCCGCGCGCACUGGUUCUGCGCGGCGGGGCUUGGCCUGCGCGACUGUCUACUCCGUCCCGGCGGCCUCGGAGCCCGGCCGAGCGGCGAGCUUGUCAGAGGACGGUGGUGGAAACGCUCCCGGCCUCCCCAGGGGCGCGGGCUGGAGGCUGGCGCCAGGCGCGGAGGACUCCCGGUAUCUUUUGACAGGCUGGCGCCUCGGCUCUGGGGACCCGCAGUAAGCAAAUGGGCAGAGAUAUUAACUGGUAAAAGUCCAACUGAUCACCCAGGGUGGACUGAAUCUCUCAACUGAUGCUCUGUUGCUGGAGCCCUGAGAAACCCGCAUACCCUGCCCGGGCACCUGCCUGGGGUUGUCUGCUGCGUGUCCUGGGAUGGUUC